rnacentral:rRNA from 1 species
CCUACGGGAGGCAGCAGUGGGGAAUCUUCCGCAAUGGGCGAAAGCCUGACGGAGCAACGCCGCGUGAACGAUGAAGGUCUUAGGAUCGUAAAGUUCUGUUGUUAGGGACGAAGGAUAAGGAUUAUAAUACAGUCUUUGUUUGACGGUACCUAACGAGGAAGCCACGGCUAACUACGUGCCAGCAGCCGCGGUAAUACGUAGGCGGCAAGCGUUGUCCGGAAUUAUUGGGCGUAAAGGGAGCGCAGGCGGGAA